rnacentral:lncRNA from 10 species
CCUGUAAGUUUCCUCCCCUAACCCCCACCCCCCAAAAAGCCCUGGUGUGUGAUGUUCCCCUCCCUGUGUCCAUGUGUUCUCAAUGUUCAACUUCCACUAUGAGUGAGAACAUGCAGUGUUUGGUUUUCUAUUCCUGCAUUACUUUGCUGAGGAUGAUGGCUUCCAGCUUCAUCCAUGCCCCUGUAAAGGAUAUGAUCUCAUUCCUUUUUAUGGCUGCAUAGUAUUCCAUGGUGUGUAUGUACUACAUUUUCUUUAUCCAAUCUAUCACUGAUGGGCAUUUGGGUUGGUUCCAAGUCUUUGCUUUAUAAUUAGUGCUGCAAUAAACAUACAUGUGCAUGUGUCUUUAUAGUAGAAUGAUUUAUAAUCUUUUGGGUAUAUACCCAGUAAUUGAAUUGCUGGGUCAAAUGCUAUUUCUGGUUCUAGAUCCUUGAGGAAUUGCCACACUGUCUUCUUACAAUGGUUGAACUAAUUGACAUUCCCACCAACAGUGUAAAAGUGUUCCUAUUUCUCUACGGCCUCACUGGCAUCUAUUGUUUCCUGACUUUUUAAUAAUUGCGAUUCUGACUGGCAUGAGAUGGUAUCUCAUUGUGGUUUUGAUUUGCAUUUCUUUGAAGAUCAGUGAUAUUCAGCUUUUUUUCAUAUGUUCAUUGGCCAUGUAAAUGUCUUCUUUUGAGAAAUGUCUGUUCAUAUCCUUUGCCCACUUUUUGAUGUUUUUUUUUAAUUGUAAAUAUGUUUAAGUUCCUCGUAAAUUCUGGAUAUUAGACCUUUGUCAGGUGAGUAGAUUGAAAAAAUUUUCUCCCAUUCUGUAGGUUGCCUGUUCACUCUGAUGAUAGUUUCUUUUGCUGUGCAGAAGCUCUUUAGUUUAAUUAGAUCCCAUUUGUGAAUUUUGGCUCUUGUUGCAAUUGCUUUUGGCAUUUUUGUCAUGAAGUCUUUGCCCAUUCCUAUGUCCUAAAUUGUAUUGCCUAGGUUUUCUUCUAGGGUUUUUAUGGUUUGGGGUUUUACAUUUAAGUCUUUAAUCCAUCUCAAGUUAAUUUUUACAUAAGGUGUAAGGAAGGGGUCCAGUUUCAGUUUUCUGCAUAUGGCUAGUCAGUUUUCCCAGCAUCACUUACUGAAUAGGAGAUCCUUUCCCCAUUGCUUGUUUUUGUCAGGUUUUUCGAAGAUCAGAUGGUUGUAGAUGUGCGAUGUUAUUUCUGAGGUCUCUGCUCCAUUGGCCUAUAUGUCUGUUUUGGUACCAGUACCAUGCCGUUUUGGUUACUGUAGCCUUGUAGCAUAGUUUGAAGUCAGGUAGUGUGAUGCCUCCAGCUUGGUUCUUUUUGCUUAGGAUUAUCUUGGCUAUAUGGGGUCUUCUUUGAUUCCAUAUAAAAUUUAAAAUAGUUUUUUUUUAAUUCUGUGAAGAAUGUCAAUGGUAGUUUAAUGGGAAUAGCACUGAAUCUAUAAAUUACUUUGGGCAGUAUGGGCAUUUUCAUGAUAUUGAUUCUUCCUAUCCAUGAGAAUGGAAUGUUUUUCCAUUUGUUUGUGUCCUCUCUUAUUCCUUGAGCAGUGGUUUGUAGUUUUCCUUGAAGAGGUCCUUCACAUCCCUUGUUAGCUGUGUUCCUAGGUAUUUUAUUCUCUUUGUAGCGAUUGUGAAUGGGAGUUCAUUCAUGAUUUGGCUCUCUGCUUGCCUAUUGUUAGUGUAAAGGAAUACUUGUGUUUUUGCACAUUGAUUUUGUAUCCUGAGAUUUUGCUGAAGUUGCUUAUCAAUUCGACAAGUUUUUGGGCUGAGAUGAUGGGGUUUUGUAAAUAUAAAAUCAUGUCGUCUGCAAACAGCAACUUGACUUCCUCUCUUCCUAUUUGAAUACACUUUAUAAUGUAUUGUUGACCUGAAGAUGUUUAAACCAGGUAGGGGAUGGUUUGAGACCUUCCAUGGGUA